CAAUAUCAAACGAGACGAAUAUAUGCAGUGCCUACUGAUGAAAUUACACUGAAUCCGAUCAUUUGCCUCAUAAUUGGCUAUAAUCUGAUUUAAGGACGAAUCAUUUCAGUGCGAAACAUUCCUUUUGAUCUGUCCGGACGAAGGGAACGUCGCAGUCGGAUCGAAUACGACAAGCAAGAUGAAGACCUUAUUGAUAGCUGCGUUGCUGGUCGUGCUGGCUGAGAUGGGUCUUGGUAACCGUUCCCCAGGAUACGUCCCAGGAGGCAGACCAGGAGGCAGACCAGCAGGUCCUUCAAGUCCGGGCUCGGCGCCGAAAAGAAGAAACUGCCUUGACGUGAACGAUGACAAACGUGUACUCGGUGAGACCUGGAUCGAACAGGCCGGAAGGUACUCAUGCCAGUGCGUCCCGUUCGACCACGGACUCUUCUCCGUCCCACCUGGAAUGGACAGGUCGCCUAAAAAAUGGUGCGAACUUUUAGGCUGUAUGCGCGGAGACACCUUCAUCGCCCCUGGAGACACCAAGAACGGAUGCCACUGCAUCCCCGGCACCGAUCCUCGCAUACAGGACGCUUCGCAAAAGUAUCACUGUAACCGGUAGACGGACGCUCAGUGGACGCACUGACUACAGUAAAGGAAAGGAGUAGGCCUAUUUUGUAACAACGAACAAUAAGGACACUUUCUUGUUUAGAUGAAUUUGUCUGCAGUCCCGAUAAUGGGGCUAUUUUCUAUACAACUAAAUGAUCCUGGCCUGAUUCGGUGCCUUCAGUUAUCGGCGACAUUGAUUAAUGAAUAAGAUCAUGUAACGAUACUUAAUUCAUGCAAACUGAAAAAGUGAAAAGGGUUAAUUACUAAAAUCUCGAAAGUUUA